GUUGUCUGUCAAUCAAAUUACAGCUAGACAACGAACCUUAGGGAGGUUUCUCCCACCACAAUUUGGCACCCCAGAUGGGACCCGUCUAGCUUGGCGCCUUUGGAGACCUCCAUCCCCCGACACCCCAGCGCGCACCAGGUAUGCUGCUUUAAGCCAACCCCUCCCUGCCGAUGUCCCAGCACAUCGCAUCCAGCCUGGAGACUGGGUAUAUAUAAAAACUUAAAAACGGUCUCCCCUUAAACCUAGGUGGCAGGGACCGUAUCGAGUCCUCCUCACCUCCCACACCGCCGUAGAGAUAGCAGAAAAGGACAACUGGAUUCAUUAUACUCAUACA